rnacentral:sRNA from 1 species
UUCUAGCCCCGAUAGAAAUGGAUAUCCUUUUUUGUUCGACAAAAAAGAUAGGAAUGAUAGCGGGAACCAUC